GCUUGCUCCCUGAUUUAGCGGCGGACGGGUGAGUAAUGCCUAGGAAUCUGCCUGGUAGUGGGGGAUAACGUUCCGAAAGGAACGCUAAUACCGCAUACGUCCUACGGGAGAAAGCAGGGGACCUUCGGGCCUUGCGCUAUCAGAUGAGCCUAGGUCGGAUUAGCUAGUUGGUGAGGUAAUGGCUCACCAAGGCGACGAUCCGUAACUGGUCUGAGAGGAUGAUCAGUCACACUGGAACUGAGACACGGUCCAGACUCCUACGGGAGGCAGCAGUGGGGAAUAUUGGACAAUGGGCGAAAGCCUGAUCCAGCCAUGCCGCGUGUGUGAAGAAGGUCUUCGGAUUGUAAAGCACUUUAAGUUGGGAGGAAGGGCAUUAACCUAAUACGUUAGUGUUUUGACGUUACCAACAGAAUAAGCACCGGCUAACUUCGUGCCAGCAGCCGCGGUAAUACGAAGGGUGCAAGCGUUAAUCGGAAUUACUGGGCGUAAAGCGCGCGUAGGUGGUUCGUUAAGUUGGAUGUGAAAGCCCCGGGCUCAACCUGGGAACUGCAUCCAAAACUGGCGAGCUAGAGUACGGUAGAGGGUGGUGGAAUUUCCUGUGUAGCGGUGAAAUGCGUAGAUAUAGGAAGGAACACCAGUGGCGAAGGCGACCACCUGGACUGAUACUGACACUGAGGUGCGAAAGCGUGGGGAGCAAACAGGAUUAGAUACCCUGGUAGUCCACGCCGUAAACGAUGUCAACUAGCCGUUGGAAUCCUUGAGAUUUUAGUGGCGCAGCUAACGCAUUAAGUUGACCGCCUGGGGAGUACGGCCGCAAGGUUAAAACUCAAAUGAAUUGACGGGGGCCCGCACAAGCGGUGGAGCAUGUGGUUUAAUU
rnacentral:rRNA from 1 species